AUAGAAGAAGAAAAAAAAAAAACUCAGUGAGCAAAAUGUUCGAAUUCGAGGAUUUUUCGCAGGAUCCUAGUUAAAGUAGGUACAGUUGGGCGCGACACGUGGUAUGGUGAGGACAUAAAUUCCUUUAAUCCCAAAAUCGUUAAAAAAAACAACAACAACAAUAAAAUCAUACAAAAAAAUACAGUGUUGCUUUUUUUUUUUAAUUUGAAAAUUCAAAAAAGGACGAAAAAACAAUACUAGUUUUAAUUCGUUCAAAAUAUGUGUUUAUCCAUCACCCCGAGCGCGUAACGUCUUCAAAAAAAUUAUAAAAAUAAUUAAGAUUUUCCUCUCUCUCUCUCGCCUCUCCGGUUAAAGCUCUUUUUUGAACUCAAUCUUAAAAAAAAAAUGAAAAUAAAAACACCAACAACAACAACAUCGUAAGCCAUAAGACCAAAACGACAUCACGAAGAGAAAAAAGCAACCGAAUUUACAACAACAUCCCUCCAAUACGCCUCCGCACACCGCUCUGUUGCUGCUCCCUGCACCGCACCACACCGCCACCGCACCAUUUUUUGGAUACCAUUGAAACGAAACGAAACGAGAAAAAAGGAUGUAAUCCCAAAUGGAUGCUUUACGCUUUAAGUUAUAAGCAAAAAACCUCUCCCUUAUAAUAGAUGAAGGAGUUUUCCACCAUUUGCCACGAGACAUCGUGUGCUUCGUGCACCAGCAGCAUCUCAUCUCAAUCGGUUACUCUCGAUGAACUUAGGCGGUGGUGUUUUUUGCAAGCAAUGAGAGGGUUGAAUUUAUUUUUUAUUCUUCAAAAGAAAAAAAACUACCCAAUACAAAAUUGUUAUCUUUUUUUUUUUUUUGAAAAAUAUAUAAUUUCUCAAGGAAUGUUAUUUUAAUUAAAUCGCGAAUUGUAAUGGUAUUCGGACAGUGUUAUCCUUGGAAAGGAUGUGUGUAAUUUUGUGAUUUUUUUUUUAUAUUUGUUGGUUAUUUUUUAUCGAGUGUGUGCUUUUGGGCUAUAUCAUCAGGUUUAUAGAGAUGUUUUUCCAAUAAAAAAAAAUUUAAAAAUAGCAUACACAUAUACAUAUAAACACAACAUCCACUAGCACACGCAUACAAACCCACUAUCAGCAGCCACCUUUUGUAUUAAACAUAAAUGUAUAUAUACAUAAAAUUCAAGUGAUGAUCCUGGUCUCCUCCGACUCUGACUCUAACUCUGACUCCGACUCCAGUUCACACAGAAUUUCCCCCUUCACACUGCCACACACUCAUACCGUGUUUUCGUGUCUCUUCUAUGAAAAUAGUGGUACAUGCGUAAAUGUAAUAAUGAGUAUGCUGCUGCUACUGCUGGAUGGAUAAAUCUUCUAGGUGGUGCGUCUCUCAAUCUACGAAUCCUCUUGUAUUCCGUUUUCGUCCUUUCUUAUACACGUAGAAUUUCCCGUAUUUUUAUAUUUGAUUUUCCAAAUCGUCUAAAAAAAAAAAAAAGUUCAUACAACAACAAAAAAACUGUGUAUAAAUUUAAAAAAAAAUCGUAAUUUUUUAAGUUUUUUUUUUUUAAUUUUUGAAGAAAAUAUUUGAUUGAAACUGCACUUUUUUCGGUAUAAUAUCUCAAGUAAUUCGUCGUCGUGUCGUCGCGGGUAAAAUAAAAUAUAUAAAGGCUUUUCGCAAAGUUAACGUGUAUAGAGGAGAUCUAUCUCAAAAGAUUGCCAUCUUUAUAGAAAAUGUGAAUAAAUCUCGUUUUUUUUUUUCAUUACGUGGAAAAUUGAUAGGAGAUAUGAAUAUUUAUUAUUCUGUAUUCCCUUGUACUUGAUUUUUUGUGAAUUUAUUUCUUUUAGUUAUAUCCCUUUUCUAUGAUAAAUAAGAAAAAUAGAAAAUAUGACAAAAAGUGUUCGAAAUUGUAUUUUUGAGUGUAAAUAUAACAUACACAUAAAGUUGAGUACAUACAGAUGAAAAAAAUUAAAUUAAAAGAAAAAAAAAAAUAAAGUGUAGCAUCCGUAUAAAAAUAGAAAACAUAAUAAAUAAUAUAAAAGUUUUAAGACUAGUUUAAUAAUAAUAAAUAUAAAAUAAUUAUUAUUAUUAUCAAUGUGAGUGAGAAAAAAUAUGUUAAAUAUAAGUUAUUAAUAAGGUUUCCUUAUGGGUAAUAAAAAUUAACAAAAUGAAAAAUUAAUAUGAAUUAUUCAAGAAUUAGUGUUGUGGAAAUGGAAAAAUAGAAAAGUAAAAAAAAAAAAAAAUGUGUAUAAAAGGAAAAUAACAGAAAAAUUAUUAAAACAAAAAAAAAAAAGGAAGAAGAAAAAAAAAACAUAACAAUCGAUAUCUUGGAGUAUGGAACGACGAAUUUAAAGGAUAUAAUUCAUGAAACUAUUUUCUAACUUUCAAUAUCAUUACCACCAAAAAUAUGAAGAAGGCAUAACAUUCACACCUAUCCUUCAUGCAAAAACAAAAA